rnacentral:lncRNA from 1 species
AAAACAAGUGUGAUGAGAGGACGUGCAACAAAAAAAGAAUAAGCUAACACAGGCGUGCAUGGUCGAGUUUUUGCGAACAUUAAAGCAAACAAAUUAGACAGUUAUGGAGUUAGAUGAGCUAAAACUUAACAAAAUGAGAUUUACCAAAUCUGAAAAUGAAAAAUCUAGUUACACUUCUCUCUAGCUACACGACCAAACAAAAAAAA